rnacentral:rRNA from 1 species
AUUGAACGCUGGCUGCAGGCUUAACACAUGCAAGUCGAGCGAGAGGCGGACGGGUGAGUAAUGUCUGGGAAACUGCCUGAUGGAGGGGGAUAACUACUGGAAACGGUAGCUAAUACCGCAUAACAUCAGAUGUGCCCAGAUGGGAUUAGCUAGUUGGUGUGGUAAUGGCUCACCAAGGCGACGAUCCCUCGCUGGUCUGAGAGGAUGACCAGCCAUACUGGAACUUAGACACGGUCCAGACGCCUACGGUAGGAAGCAGUGGGGAAUAGUGCACAAUGGGCGCAAGCCUGAUGCAGCCAUGCCGCGUGUGUGAAGAAGGCCUUAGGGUUGUAAAGCACUUUCAGCGAGGAGGCGUUACUCGCAGAAGAAGCACCGGCUAACUCCGUGCCAGCAGCCGCGGUAAUAC